rnacentral:tRNA from 1 species
CAAGAUAGAGCAUGACAUAUGCAUUUCACUUACAAUGAAUAUAGAAAGUUCUACUUUUAUCUUGA